AAAAAAAAAAUAAGAAAAAAAAAGAAAAAAGAUCUAAUAAAGAACAUACCCAACGAAUGAGGCCCCCUGCUUUAUGUGGGUCAGGAAACAAGUGAAUAAGGAGUCUAUUAGUCAAAAAUCUCUUGUACAGUUCUAUACUACAAGCCAACUACCAUGCAUGGCUAAGCAAUUGUAAACCAUGAACACUACUAAGUCUCUAAGGGAUACUCAGUUUCACGAGUCAAACUGUAACAACUGAUAGUGCAGCAAGCAAAAGAAUGCUAUAUUUUAAAACCCAAAUAAUUAGUU
rnacentral:misc_RNA from 1 species